rnacentral:rRNA from 1 species
CGCUAGCUACAGGCUUAACACAUGCAAGUCGAGGGGCAGCAUUUCAGUUUGCUUGCAAACUGGAGAUGGCGACCGGCGCACGGGUGAGUAACACGUAUCCAACCUGCCGAUAACUCGGGGAUAGCCUUUCGAAAGAAAGAUUAAUACCCGAUGGCAUAAUUAGACCGCAUGGUCUUAUUAUUAAAGAAUUUCGGUUAUCGAUGGGGAUGCGUUCCAUUAGGCAGUUGGUGAGGUAACGGCUCACCAAACCUUCGAUGGAUAGGGGUUCUGAGAGGAAGGUCCCCCACAUUGGAACUGAGACACGGUCCAAACUCCUACGGGAGGCAGCAGUGAGGAAUAUUGGUCAAUGGGCGCAGGCCUGAACCAGCCAAGUAGCGUGAAGGAUGACUGCCCUAUGGGUUGUAAACUUCUUUUAUAUGGGAAUAAAGUUCUCCACGUGUGGAAUUUUGUAUGUACCAUAUGAAUAAGGAUCGGCUAACUCCGUGCCAGCAGCCGCGGUAAUACGGAGGAUCCGAGCGUUAUCCGGAUUUAUUGGGUUUAAAGGGAGCGUAGGUGGACAGUUAAGUCAGUUGUGAAAGUUUGCGGCUCAACCGUAAAAUUGCAGUUGAUACUGGCUGUCUUGAGUACAGUAGAGGUGGGCGGAAUUCGUGGUGUAGCGGUGAAAUGCUUAGAUAUCACGAAGAACUCCGAUUGCGAAGGCAGCUCACUGGACUGCAACUGACACUGAUGCUCGAAAGUGUGGGUAUCAAACAGGAUUAGAUACCCUGGUAGUCCACACAGUAAACGAUGAAUACUCGCUGUUUGCGAUAUACAGUAAGCGGCCAAGCGAAAGCAUUAAGUAUUCCACCUGGGGAGUACGCCGGCAACGGUGAAACUCAAAGGAAUUGACGGGGGCCCGCACAAGCGGAGGAACAUGUGGUUUAAUUCGAUGAUACGCGAGGAACCUUACCCGGGCUUAAAUUGCAUUUGAAUAAUCUGGAAACAGGUUAGCUGCAAGGCAAAUGUGAAGGUGCUGCAUGGUUGUCGUCAGCUCGUGCCGUGAGGUGUCGGCUUGAGUGCCAUAACGAGCGCAACCCUUAUCUUUAGUUACUAACAGGUCAUGCUGAGGACUCUAGAGAGACUGCCGUCGUAAGAUGUGAGGAAGGUGGGGAUGACGUCAAAUCAGCACGGCCCUUACGUCCGGGGCUACACACGUGUUACAAUGGGGGGUACAGAAGGCAGCUACCUGGUGACAGGAUGCUAAUCCCAAAAGCCUCUCUCAGUUCGGAUCGAAGUCUGCAACCCGACUUCGUGAAGCUGGAUUCGCUAGUAAUCGCGCAUCAGCCAUGGCGCGGUGAAUACGUUCCCGGGCCUUGUACACACCGCCCGUCAAGCCAUGAAAGCCGGGGGUACCUGAAGUACGUAACCGCAAGGAGCGUCCUAGGGUAAAACUGGUAAAAGGG